rnacentral:rRNA from 1 species
CCCUUAGAUGUUCUGGGCCGCACGUGCGCUACACUGAUGCAUUCAACAAGCCUAGCCUUGACCGAGAGGUCCGGGUAAUCUUUGAAACUGCAUCGUGAUGGGGCUAGAUUAUUGCAAUUAUUAAUCUUCAACGAGGAAUGCCUAGUAAGCGUGAUUCAUCAAAUCGCGUUGAUUACGUCCCUGCCCUUUGUACACACCGCCCGUCGCUCCUACCGAUUGAAUGUGUUGGUGAGGAGCUCGGAUUGGCAGCAGUUGGUGGUUCGCCACCGGCUAUUGCUGAGAAGUCCUCCAAACCGCCCCAUUUAGAGGAAGGAGAAGUCGUAACA